AAUGAACGCUGGCGGCAGGCCUAACACAUGCAAGUCGAACGGGUCCUUCGGGACUAGUGGCGGACGGGUGAGUAACGCGUGGGAACGUGCCCCUUGGUACGGAAUAGCCCCGGGAAACUGGGAGUAAUACCGUAUGUGGUCGAGAGACGAAAGAUUUAUCGCCAAGGGAUCGGCCCGCGUUGGAUUAGGUAGUUGGUGGGGUAAUGGCCUACCAAGCCGACGAUCCAUAGCUGGUUUGAGAGGAUGAUCAGCCACACUGGGACUGAGACACGGCCCAGACUCCUACGGGAGGCAGCAGUGGGGAAUCUUAGACAAUGGGGGAAACCCUGAUCUAGCCAUGCCGCGUGAUCGAUGAAGGCCUUAGGGUUGUAAAGAUCUUUCAGGUGGGAAGAUAAUGACUGUACCACCAGAAGAAGCCCCGGCUAACUCCGUGCAGCCGCCGCAGUAAUAC
rnacentral:rRNA from 1 species